UGCUUGACCACAGCUUUGGCCACUCAUUAAGCUGAUGAAGUUCCAUCUUUAGCUGCACAUGUUUGUUCUGUGAAUUUUCAGGGUAGGAGGCAGCUUAGAAAAAAAGGCUUUUGUGUGCCAGAUAGCUUCCAAAGGCAUACUGUGCCCUACAUCUGUGAAUAGAAAGCUCUGAAGAACUGAAAGAGGCAAAGGAGAGCUGACACAGCCUCUGCAUCCAUAGCUAGCUCCUUCCCAAAGGCCUCACACGGCCGCAAAGCACACUAAAGGCUUCCCCAGCCCCUGCUAUCUGGUAAUAGGAUGCCUGAGGUGACAGCUGGAGCAGCACAGACAACAGCCAUCUCCUUUCCUGCCAUGAAUCUGGCUUCCUCAAUUUUACUUGGCAUUACAGUGGAUACUGCUCAUAGAAGUUCACCUUAAAAGAAAUUGAAGCAAACCUGGCAUGAUCAAAAAUUUGAUUUAGUCACCAAGCAGAAGCGGUCCCUUUUCUGAGAAGAUCUAACAAGCUCCAAGAUGCUCAUGGCAUGAAUAAAAGGUAUUACAAUCAUAAAUAAGGAAGUUAUUGGCAGUAGAACAUCCAGACUUCAAUUUUUAGCCACUUUCAAGUUUCCCUUGAAAACUUUUUCUUCAGUAGAACAUGCAUUUGAGAUGACAGACCUGGUGCUAAAGCAGAAGACGAGAGAAAAUGUGAGCAAGCCCACCUACUCAUGCUCAGCCUUCAUUGUGAAUUUAUCCCCAUUUCACAACAGCUAACAUAUAUGGAUUAAGCUUUUGCUUUGGUCCAUAAACAGCACAGAAAUGAGAGUAAUGCAAGUCCAUUUGUGCUUUCUGUAGAAGCAGGUAGAUAAUUUAGCAAGACAUUACAUCCAAUACCAUUGGCAAUAAACACCGCAUCUAACAGAAAUAUUGCUUUCCUUCUUUGUUUAAUUUUUUUCCACUUAGUUUUUAGCAUCUUGACUUACUGGACUUAAGUGUGUUUGAUUUCUACUACUCUACAUUUGCACAGUAAUGCAGCUGUUCUG